AUAAAGAUUUUUUUUAAAAUCACAAAACAGGAUGAGAAAAGUUUUCU
rfam:Oreochromis niloticus linkage group LG7, whole genome shotgun sequence.